AUGGCCCUGUCGAUCGGAGACGACGACAUGGCCGAGCGCCUCGUGAUCUCCUCGCUUCCCCUCGAGACACGGUUCCCGCCGUUCCAGCUCAGGCAGCACGGCGGCUUCUGGUUCCCCUAGCCGAUCCUCCCGGGUAUCGUGGCCGUGCGCGCGGUGCUCGCGCCCAGGCCGUCCGACGUAUUCCUCGCCAGCUUCCCCAAGUCCGGCACCACCUGGCUCAAGGCGCUCGCCUUCGCCACGGCCCACCGUGCCGACCACCCGCCGCGCGCCCCCAACCACCCCCUCCGCCUCCGCAACCCCCACGACUGCGUCGAGUUCCUCGAGGUGCCCUACGCGCUUGAUCCGACGGCUGACGCCUUUGCGGUGCUACCUGCGCCGCGCGUGAUCGCCACCCACAUGCCCUACUCCCUCCUGCCAGAGCUGGUCACGGCGGAGGGCGCCGGUUGCAAGGUCGUGUAAGUCUGCCGCGACCCCAAGGACGCCUUCGUUUCCACGUGGCUGUUCGCAAGGAAGAUGGCGGCCGCCGCAGCCGGAGCCGCCAACGACGACGAACCGCGGCCCGUGCCAAAGCCGUUCAGUAUGGAGGAAGCUCUCGAGCUGUUCUGCGUCGGCCGGUGCCCCGGCGGCCCGCAGUGGCCCCACGUCUUGAGCUACUGGGAGGCGAGCCGGAGGUGGCCGGAGAAGGUCCUCUUCCUCCAGUACGAGGAGAUGCUGGACCCGGUGGGCAACGUGAGGAAGCUGGCGGAGUUCAUGGGGUGCGCGUUCUCCGAGGAAGAGGAGGCCGCGGGGGUGGCGCGGGACAUCGUCGAGCUGUGCAGCAUCGGCGCCCUGAAGAACGUGGAGGCGAACAAGAGCGGUGCUCAGAACUACGUCAAGAACGAGGCCUUCUUUCGGAAGGGGGUCGCCGGAGACUGGAGCAACCACGUGACGCCGGCGAUGGCGGCGCGGCUGGAUGGGAUCGUCGAGGACGCGCUGCAAGGGUCGGGGUUCGCCUUUGCAGCCGCCGGCCGACAGGCCUAG
rnacentral:rRNA from 1 species